AGGCUGUGAAGCAGUGGGUUGGGUCGGUAUUAGUCGAUUGCAGAGCCAGACCGUGGGUUGUGCGGGUACAAUAAGCCGAAUAAGCGGCGGAAAUGCUGCUGAAAGAAAACGCAAAAA
rnacentral:ncRNA from 1 species